rnacentral:rRNA from 1 species
UUGCCUACGGGGCGCAGCAGUGGGGGAUAUUGCACAAUGGGGGGAACCCUGAUGCAGCGACGCCGUGUGAGCGAAGAAGUACCUCGGUAUGUAAAGCUCUAUCAGCAGGGAAGAAAAUGACGGUACCUGACUAAGAAGCCCCGGCUAAAUACGUGCCAGCAGCCGCGGUAAUACGUAUGGGGCAAGCGUUAUCCGGAUUUACUGGGUGUAAAGGGAGCGCAGGCGGCCUGCCAAGUCUGGUGUGAAAACCCGGGGCCCAACCCCGGGCCUGCAUUGGAAACUGGCGGGCUUGGUGGUCGGGGGGG